rnacentral:rRNA from 1 species
AUUGAACGCUGGCGGCAGGCCUAACACAUGCAAGUCGAGCGGAUGACGGGAGCUUGCUCCUUGAUUCAGCGGCGGACGGGUGAGUAAUGCCUAGGAAUCUGCCUGGUAGUGGGGGACAACGUUUCGAAAGGAACGAUAAUACCGCAUACGUCCUACGGGAGAAAGCAGGGGACCUUCGGGCCUUGCGCUAUCAGAUGAGACUAGGUCGGAUUAGCUAGUAGGUGAGGUAAUGGCUCACCUAGGCGACGAUCCGUAACUGGUCUGAGGGGAUGAUCAGUCACACUGGAACUGAGACACGGUCCAGACUCCUACGGGAGGCAGCAGUGGGGAAUAUUGGACAAUGGGCGAAAGCCUGAUCCAGCCAUGCCGCGUGUGUGAAGAAGGUCUUCGGAUUGUAAAGCACUUUAAGUUGGGAGGAAGGGCAGUAAGCUAAUACCUUGCUGUUUUGACGUUACCGACAGAAUAAGCACCGGCUAACUCUGUGCCAGCCGCCGCAGUAAUAC